CUCAGCCUGAGGAGUACAGGGGACACAGGAGGGGGAGACUCAGUCUGGCCCUCGUCCUCACCCAGCCCGGCCCCAAGCCCUGUCCACUUGUGGGGCUAUAAGGAUUCAUCGUUGGUUUAAGAAAGAUAGAUUAGAAGACUUGCUUCCUCAACCCACAGCUGCACCAUCUAUGUCUAAAAAUACUGGAAAGAUGAAAAUGGGAUAUCAAGAGAGCUCUCUGAGUAGCAGAAGGGAAGAAUGUACUCCAAAGAAAUUGUGCAAAAAGUCACCUAGAUGUGAAUGUGCCUUGAACAUAUGCUCAUUCCCCAUUUAAUAAGUUCUGUGAGAAGAAGCAGUGGCAGCUUCAAGAGGUAAAAUUCUGCCCUGGAAAAUAAGAUGGUGAACUGCUGAGUCCAGAAUGAAGACCAGAAACCAGGAAGCCCGAAGCCUAAUGUCCGGUAUGCGCAUCAAGUAUGAUCAUUGUGGUUUAAAUGGCUGCUUCCUUCCCUUCACAAGCUGCCAAACAGGGAUGUGGGUAAUGAUCACAAUUUGCUGUAUCUUCAGGUUAUCUUUACAUACAAACUGAAACCAUUAUUAUGAAAUAAAAUGGAGCACUAAUAUGGGA